rnacentral:lncRNA from 1 species
AAUAAUUUUUUGGACUUUAUAAAUUGGCCUAUAUCCCACGCUUUUCUAUUUUCUCUCCCAAUUCUAAAAAAAUAAAAUAAAAAAUAGUGUCUCAUUUUUCAACUAAGUUUUAAGGGUGUCUAUAAUACCAAAUCUUCUCUAGUAUCUCUUUCUUUAAUAGGUGGGACUACUCCUACUAAUAUCAACAGAAAACUCCAUAAG